rnacentral:rRNA from 1 species
GAAGGGAGCUUGCUCCCGGAUGUUAGCGGCGGACGGGUGAGUAACACGUGGGUAACCUGCCUGUAAGACUGGGAUAACUCCGGGAAACCGGAGCUAAUACCGGAUAGUUCCUUGAACCGCAUGGUUCAAGGAUGAAAGACGGUUUCGGCUGUCACUUACAGAUGGACCCGCGGCGCAUUAGCUAGUUGGUGGGGUAAUGGCUCACCAAGGCGACGAUGCGUAGCCGACCUGAGAGGGUGAUCGGCCACACUGGGACUGAGACACGGCCCAGACUCCUACGGGAGGCAGCAGUAGGGAAUCUUCCGCAAUGGACGAAAGUCUGACGGAGCAACGCCGCGUGAGUGAUGAAGGUUUUCGGAUCGUAAAGCUCUGUUGUUAGGGAAGAACAAGUGCGAGAGUAACUGCUCGCACCUUGACGGUACCUAACCAGAAAGCCACGGCUAACUACGUGCCAGCAGCCGCGGUAUACGUAGGUGGCAAGCGUUGUCCGGAAUUUAUUGGGCGUAAAGGGCUUCGCAGGCGGUUUCCUUAAGUCUGAUGUGAAACCCCCCCGGCUCACCCGGGGAAGGGUCAUUGGGAAAACUGGGGAAAACUUGGAGUG